UUUCCUGUGGCUCAACUGGUAGAGCAUUGCGCUAUAACAACGCAAAGGUUGUGGGUUUAAAUCCCAAGGAAAA